ACAAUGGAAAAUUCUAACAGUGGGAAAUUGUAUCCCAUUCCACCAUUCUUUUGACUCUGUUUCUGUAAGCAUUAACUGUGACUAAUAUGUCACUUGUAGAUGAACAACAUGUUUGUUCCUAGUAACUAACUUCAAAAGAUACAGAUCCUGACCUUCAAGCAUCCCAGCUCCAGGGGAUUUGCUGACCUUCAACCAUGGAGCCAGGAUGACUAAACCAGGAUGAUACACACCAGACCAUCACUUGCCUUAUCAGAAUGGACUGUGCUCGUCUGCAUAUAGAGAACCUUGCAACUCCCUUCUUUGAUCUCUUUGUUCUGUUCCCCUCUCCCCCCUUAUAAAAACCUCUGCCUCCACUGAGAUGUGAGAUGGGCUUUGUGUCAUGAGCCCUCCAUCUUCCAGAUGACCAGCAUCUGCAAAUAAACCACUUUCCUUUACAU